GACAGAGGCCUCGAGCGUUAGGCGGAAUCACUGGGCUUAAAGCGUGUGUAGGCGGAUCGUUAAGUGCCUUGUGAAAUCCCACGGCUUAACUGUGGAACGGCUGGGCAUACUGGCGGUCUUGAGCCAUCUAGGGGCGACUGGAACAAACGGUGGAGCGGUGAAAUGCGUAGAUAUCGUUUGGAACGCCAAUGGUGAAAACAGGUCGCUGGGGAUGAGCUGACGCUGAGGCACGAAGGUCAGGGGAGCAAACGGG
rnacentral:rRNA from 1 species